CCGCCCCUUAGAGCUCCGCUCCUCUCUUCCCCGCAGGCUGGUCCCAAGUGUCCCUGACCCCUAGGGACGUGAUGCAGAAACUGAGGCGCGAGGCAGCCAAGCCAUUUGCCCAGGUUGACCCGGCUUGCGAGUGGCGGAGGUGGGAUUCAUACCCCGAGCCCUGGAGCGCCAUCCUGUCCUCCUCGCUUUCAUCCGUGCAGCCCAGCCCCACCAUCUCUGAUCCCUACCAUAAUUCUCAACGGUGAAGGUUACCAUCACCCAUUUUACAGAUGAGGAAAUUAAGUCGUAGAGCGCCAAGGACGCUUGGGGAUGAAAAGUUUCGGUGCCUGCGGGAUCGCCAAGCUGGUGAUUUCCAGGCUUGGCUUCCCCCUCAGCGAAAUGUGGAAGAGACUCGAGGCUGCGGAGGAGGAGCUGAGGGGAGCGUUUUUUUCCUUGACCCCCUCCCGCCUAGUUUCGGUGCAGAGAGUAGAGCGGGGCGGGGGGUGGUUGUCCAGUGUGGGAGUCUAGCGCCCCCUAGUGGUUGGAAGAAUUAAAAAAAGAAAAUCUGA